AGUUCGCUGCGUGUCGAGGCGAGCACGCGCUCCUCCCUGCAAGCUGCGGCGACGAGUCCUCCUCCGCCGUCCGGUCGCGCCCUCGCGGAAGCUCGGCAGUGCGCGUGCGCCCGCACCCGCACUCCAAAUUAGAAAGGGGACGUCUAGUGGGUUGCCCGGGAGGGGUGGCGGAAGCGGUCCCGGAAAUAAUCUGUCCUCUGUCGCCGGGAACUGGCGAGGUAGUUCCUUCGCGGUGGAGAGACCUGGAAUGGCCAAAUAUCAAGGUGAAGUUCAAAGUUUGAAACUGGAUGAUGAUUCAGUUAUAGAAGGAGUAAGCGACCAAGUACUUGUGGCAGUUGUGGUCAGUUUCGCUUUGAUUGCUACCCUGGUAUAUGCACUUUUCAGAAAUGUACAUCAAAACAUUCACCCAGAAAACCAGGAGCUAGUAAGGGUACUUCGAGAACAGCUUCAAACAGAACAGGAUGCACCUGCUGCCGCUCGACAGCAGUUCUACACUGACAUGUACUGUCCCAUCUGCCUGCACCAAGCCUCCUUCCCGGUGGAGACCAACUGUGGACAUCUUUUUUGUGGUGCCUGCAUUGUUGCUUACUGGCGAUAUGGUUCAUGGCUUGGGGCAAUCAGUUGUCCAAUCUGUAGACAAACGGUAACCUUACUCCUAACAGUAUUUGGUGAAGAUGAUCAGUCUCAGGAUGUUGUGAGAUUGCAUCAGGAUAUUAAUGAUUAUAACCGGAGAUUCUCAGGGCAACCCAGAUCUGUAAGUAAUGCUAAAGCAUGUUCAAAGUUAGAGGAAGACACAUUUCUUCUCUUUUGUAAAGUGAGGUUUACCAACAAGUAUUCUUUGACUAUGAGAAAUCUUGGCCAGGCACAGUGGCUAACGCCUGUAAUCCUAGCACUUUGGGAGGCCAAGGCAGGUGGAUCACUUGAGCCCAGGAGUUUGAGACCAGCCUUGGAAACAUGAUGAAACCCCAUCUCUAGAAAAAACACCAAAAAAUUGGAUAAGAGUGUUGGCACAUGCCUGUAGUCCCUGCUUCUUGGGAGGCUGAAAUGGGAGGAUCACCUGAGCCCAGGAGGUUGAGGCUAUAGUGAGCCAUGAUCGCACUAUUGCACUCCCACCUGGGUGGCAGUGAGACCCUUCCUCAAAAAACAAGAAAAGAAAAAGAAAAAAAAAA
rnacentral:sRNA from 1 species